rnacentral:rRNA from 1 species
CCUACGGGAGGCAGCAGUGAGGAAUAUUGGUCAAUGGACGAGAGUCUGAACCAGCCAAGUAGCGUGAAGGAUGACUGCCCUAUGGUUUGUAAACUUCUUUUAUAUAGGAAUAAAAUGUUCCACGUGUGUGAUUUUGUAUGUACCAUAUGUAUAAGGAUCGGCUCACUCCGUUCCAGCAGCCGCGGUAAUGCGGUGGAUACGAGGGUUAUCCGGUUUUCUUGGGUUUAAAGGGAACGUAGGUGGGUUGUUAAGUCAGUUGUGAAAUUUUGCGGCUCAACCGUAAAAUUGCAGUUGAAACUGGGAGUCUUGAGUACAGUAGAGGUGGGCGGAAUUCGUGGUGUAGCGGUGAAAUGCUUAGAUAUAAGGAAGAACUCCGAUUGCGAAGGCAGCUCACUGGACUGCAACUGACACUGAGGCUCGAAAGUGUGGGUAGCAAACAGGAUUAGAUACCCCAGUAGUC